rnacentral:rRNA from 1 species
GAUGAACGCUGACAGAAUGCUUAACACAUGCAAGUCUACUUGAAUUUGGGUUUUUAACUUAGAUUUGGGUGGCGGACGGGUGAGUAACGCGUAAAGAACUUGCCUCACAGCUAGGGACAACAUUUAGAAAUGAAUGCUAAUACCUAAUAUUAUGAUAAUAGGGCAUCCUAUAAUUAUGAAAGCUAUAUGCGCUGUGAGAGAGCUUUGCGUCCCAUUAGCUAGUUGGAGAGGUAACAGCUCACCAAGGCGAUGAUGGGUAGCCGGCCUGAGAGGGUGAUCGGCCACAAGGGGACUGAGACACGGCCCUUACUCCUACGGGAGGCAGCAGUGGGGAAUAAUGUUCAAUGGACCGAGAAACCGUUCCAGCACUACUCUGUGGGAAUAAAAUAUUUUUGAAAGAAAAAGC